rnacentral:rRNA from 1 species
UGGUUUAAUUCGAUGCAACGCGAAGAACCUUACCUACUCUUGACAUCCAGAGAACUUUCCAGAGAUGGAUUGGUGCCUUCGGGAACUCUGAGACAGGUGCUGCAUGGCUGUCGUCAGCUCGUGUUGUGAAAUGUUGGGUUAAGUCCCGCAACGAGCGCAACCCUUAUCCUUGUUUGCCAGCGAGUAAUGUCGGGAACUCCAGGGAGACUGCCGGUGAUAAACCGGAGGAAGGUGGGGACGACGUCAAGUCAUCAUGGCCCUUACGAGUAGGGCUACACACGUGCUACAAUGGCGCAUACAGAGGGCGGCCAACUUGCGAAAGUGAGCGAAUCCCAAAAAGUGCGUCGUAGUCCGGAUUGGAGUCUGCAACUCGACUCCAUGAAGUCGGAAUCGCUAGUAAUCGUGGAUCAGAAUGCCACGGUGAAUACGUUCCCG